rnacentral:rRNA from 1 species
UAGGGAAUCUUCGGCAAUGGACGAAAGUCUGACCUAGCAACGCCGCGUGAGUGAAGAAGGUUUUCGGAUCGUAAAACUCUGUUGUUAGAGAAGAACAAGGACGUUAGUAACUGAACGUCCCCUGACGGUAUCUAACCAGAAAGCCACGGCUAACUACGUGCCAGCAGCCACGGUAAUACGUAGGUGGCAAGCGUUGUCCGGAUUUAUUGGGCGUAAAGCGAGCGCAGGCGGUUUCUUAAGUCUGAUGUGAAAGCCCCCGGCUCAACCGGGGAGGGUAAUUGGAAACUGGGAGACUUGAGUGCAGAAGAGGAGAGUGGAAUUCCAUGUGUAGCGGUGAAAUGCGUAGAUAUAUGGAGGAACACCAGUGGCGAAGGCGGCUAUCUGGUAUGUAACUGACGCUGAGGCUCGAAAGCGUGGGGAGCAAACAGG